rnacentral:rRNA from 1 species
UACGGGGGGAGCAAGCGUUGUUCGGAUUUACUGGGCGUAAAGAGCGCGCAGGCGGUCGUUCAAGUCGAGUGUGAAAGCCCCCGGCUCAACUGGGGAGGGUCACUCGAUACUGAUCGACUCGAAGGCAGAAGAGGGAAGCGGAAUUCCCGGUGUAGUGGUGAAAUGCGUAGAUAUCGGGAGGAACACCAGUGGCGAAGGCGGCUUUCUGGUCUGCUCUUGACGCUGAGGCGCGAAAGCUAGGGUAGCAAACGGG